UGACAUUAUAUCUAUAGUAAUUGUUGAUGUUCAAAAAUGAAAAUUAUUGAUCUAGUAAACUCGUAAAUGAAUCGUAUAUUUAUAUACCAGAUGAAUCAAUGAUUUGUGAUAAUAUUGUUAACUGUUAAUAAAAAAAGGUGUCUAGAUAAAUUUAGAAGAGGGAAUAGAAGAGGACCAGGAUACUUUGAUUUCUUAUGAUUUAGGCAAUCCAAACAUGAUAUGAUCAUAAGUUGUGUCGAAUAAAUACUCAAAUGAAUUGAUUAAUAUUUCACUAUGUGAAAUUCGACUUUAUUAUUAAUUAUGAUAGGAUUAAUGCUAUUUAUUCAACAAAUUCGAUUGAUUGAUACGGGUUGAUUUUCUGUUACGAGCAAUUGAAGAAACAAUAGCCAGUCCGAUAGCCGCUUCAGCGGCUGCAAUAGCUAUAACAAAAAUUGAAAAAAUAUUUCCUUUUAAUUGGCGAUUAUCAAAAAAAUCAGAAAAAGUUACUAGAUUUAUAUUAACUGCAUUCAGUAUAAGUUCAAGACACAUAAGGGCUCUAACCAUAUUUCGGCUCGUGAUCAAUCCAUAGAUACCAAUAGAAAAUAAAUAGGCACUCAAAACAAGUACAUGUUCGAGCAUCAUUGACCAACUCCUUAUAAAUUUUGAUUCAUUAACAAAUAUAUCGGCAAUAAAAAAAAGAAUCUUGAUAAAACUCUUUCACUUCACAUAGAAUUCGACAGAAAUGAAUGUGAUAAAAUUGAAAAAAAAAAAGAAAAAUAAUAAAAAGACUGUUCUUAUUCAAAACGCCCUGUGAUCUUCAACCAAUUUUGUGCCUCAAUAUAAUUACCAGGGGUAAGGGCUAUAGCUUGUUUCCAAUAUUCAGCAGCUUGAUCAAACCAAGAUUCUGCAAUUUCAGAAUCUCCCUGUCGAAUGGCCUGUUCUCCGCGGUCGGAAUAGGUGAGUAAAAUCCUUCCCUUAGAACCGUACUUGAGAGUUUCCUGACUCAUACGGCUCAACAGUCAAUUCUUUUGAUCUUCCAUGGAGUUAAUAACAAGAAAAAGGUUAAUUACAUGAGUUUCAAACUUGCCUUUGGAUUAAUAAUUCAAUUUAAUCGUUUGUUUUUAGUUUUAUCUUUUCUCCUACCUUCUGAAGAAUAAAGCAUCGAUAUUAACACUAACGCUCUUAUUCUCAUUUUCUGAAAGGUAACUAUCUCGAUUUCAUAUAUCAUUUCAUAUAUAAUAUAUCUAUUUCUAUAGAAUCUUUGAGAAAGACUUUUCUUCAUAAGAAAAGACUUACUAUCUUUGGGAUCUGAUACUACACCGCUGCUCAAAACCUUAGGGGAUCAACUUUAUUACAUAAGUUGAUUUCUAAUCUAUCAUCAUAUAAGUAAGCAGUUCUUGUUGUAUCGGCCAAAAACCUUGUUAAUUGAUCUUUACGGUGCUUCCUCUAUCAAUUAGAUCUUUUAUCCAUAGAAAAAAGUAUCUAGGCAUAUAUAUUCUAUUUCUUCAUAUUUUUACUUCUAUGAAGUUUCUUUCAUACAGCUCAUAAAAAUCGUUGUUUCGAACGAUAUCUAUGUAACUUAAUUCUAAAUUUGGUUGAAUUAAUGAAGAACCAAAGAAUAUAGAAUCGCGAGAAUUUACUAGGACUCAUCAUCUUCUGAAUUUUGUUUAAUUUUCUUCUGAUUCUUCCUAUUGCUCCUAUUAUUUUUAUUUUGAUUCUCCGUAGCGUCGUGAUAAUGUAAUCCAUUGGAUAUUCUUCUCCUGAUCUCUUUUCGAAGAUCUCUUAUUAAAUUAAUGUGAAUUAACUUAAUUCUAAAUUUGGUUGAAUUAAUGAGUUGAAAAAGUCUUUGAAUUAAUUGUAUAAUAAUUUUGUUUAAUUUUCUUCUGAUUCUUCCUAUUGCUCCUAUUGUUUUUAUUUUGAUUCUUCGUAGCGUCGUGAUAAUGUUAUCCAUUCGAUCCUCCUAUUGUGAUCUAUUUUGAAUUAAUUGUAAAUGUGCAUGAACAUUAUGAAUAAUAUGAAACUAGAAAAAGUAUUCACAAUGUUUUUUUUUAAUCCAUCAAAAAUGAGAUGGAAUAGCUUCAACCUUGUCAACCGAAAAUGAGAAAAUGAAAUCGGGGUAAACACCAAUACCUAUUAUGAGUAUAAGGAUACAAAUAGAAAUAAAUAAUUCUCUGGGCCCAGAAUAAAAAAAAUUAGAGUUUGGUGUAUUCAAAAACUUAUAUCCAUAGAACAUCUGCCGUACGAUUGAUAAUAAAUAAAUCGAAGUUAAUAUCAUUCCAAUUGCUGUUACAAAAGUAAUUAGUAUUUUCAUCAUGAAAAGAUCAUUUUUGACUACUAAUUAUUCCAAAAAAACUAUCAAUUCUGCAACAAAACCGCUCAUGCCAGGCAAUGCAAGAGAAGCCAUUGAUAAGAUAGUAAAAAUUGUGAAUAUUUUUGGCAUUGGGAUAGCCAUUCCGCCCAUUUCGUCAAGAUAAAGAAGAUGCCACUCUAUCAUAACUAGUUCCUGCCAAGAAAAAAAGUGCAGCGCCAAUAAAUCCAUGAGAUAUGAUUUGUAAAAUGGCCCCGUUGAGACCAGUAUCACUUAUGGAACCAAUUCCUAUAAUUAGAAAGCCCAUAUGAGAUACCGAAGAAUAAGCUAUUCUUUUUUUUAGAUUACGUUGACCAAAAGAUGUUGAAGCGGCAUAGAUUAUUUGAAUAGAACCUAAUAUCAUUAACCAGGGGCAAAAUAUGGAAUGAGCAUGGGAAACCAAUUCCAUAUUAAUUCGAACCAACCCAUAUGCUCCCAGUUUUAAUAAUAUGCCGGCUAAAAGCAUACAAGUGCUGUAAUGUGCCUCUCCGUGGGUAUCUGGUAACCAUGUAUGUAAGGGCAUAAUUGGCGAUUUGACAGCAAAAGAAAUCAGAAAUGCCGUAUAGAAUAUUAUUUCUAGUGCCACGGGAUACGAUCGAUUAAUUAAUGUUUCAAAAUUAAAUGUUGGUUUAUUAGAGCCAUAUAAACCGAUACCCAGAAUUCCCAUUAAUAAAAAAACAGAAGCUCCUGCAGUGUACAAAAUAAACUUAGUAGCAGAGUAGAAACGUUUCUUUCCCCCCCAGAUGGAUAAAAGUAGAUAAACGGGGAUUAAUUUCAAUUCCCACAUGAUGAAAAAAAGUAAAAUGUCUCGAGAAGAAAAUGGUCCUAUUUGACCGCUAUACAUUGCUAACAUCAGGAAAUAGAAUAAUUGGUAUUCUCGAGUAACCGGCUGAGCCGCUAAAGAGGCUAAAGUAGUUAUAAAUCCUGUUAGUAAAAUGGGUCCUAUAGAGAGUCCAUCUAUUCCUAAUCUCCAGUCAAAAUCAAAAAAAUGGAUCCAUUUAUAAUUCUCCGUCAGUUGAAUUAGUGGAUCAUACAAUUGGAAAUGAUAAGAAAAUGCAUAGGUUGUUAGAAGGAGAUCGAUUAAGCAUAUACAAAUGCUAUACCACCUAAUUACCUUAUUUCCCCUAUGAGGAAAUAAGAAAAUUAAGGAACCUGCGGCUAGGAAAUGAUAAGAAAAUGCAUAGGUUGUUAGAAGGAGAUCGAUUAAGCAUAUACAAAUGCUAUACCACCUAAUUACCUUAUUUCCCCUAUGAGGAAAUAAGAAAAUUAAGGAACCUGCGGCUAUUGGAAAAACAACAACGAUUGUUAACCAAGGAAAAUAAUUCGUGAUAAAAAUAAGAUACACUUGGGCCAGAAAAGCCCGUGCUCAAAAUAGAAAAAAAAGAUUUUCUAUUUUAUUUGGAGCACGAGUUUUUGACAGUAAAAAACGUAUUCGUGUGGUGUUGUUUGAAACGAAUCAAUAAGCUAGACCCAUACUUCGAGUUGUUUCAUGCCAUAAAUAAACUCGAACACUUAAGAAAUCCGUCGGACAAGCGGACUCACACCUCCUACAACCAACACAGUCCUCUGUUCUUGGGGCAGAAGCUAUUUGCUUAGCUUUACAUCCACCCCAAGGUAUCAUUUCUAAUACAUCUGUGGGACAGGCUCGGACACAUUGAGUACAUCCUAUACAUGAUAGCUUUACAUCCACCCCAAGGUAUCAUUUCUAAUACAUCUGUGGGACAGGCUCGGACACAUUGAGUACAUCCUAUACAUGUAUCAUAAAUCUUUACUGAAUGUGACAUUAUAUCUAUAGUAAUUGUCGAUGUUCAAAAAUGAAAAUUAUUGAUCUAGUAAACUCGUAAAUGAAUCGUAUAUUUAUAUACCAGAUGAAUCAAUGAUUUGUGAUAAUAUUGUUAACUGUUAAUAAAAAAAGGUGUCUAGAUAAAUUUGGAAGAGGGAAUAGAAGAGGACCAGGAUACUUUGAUUUCUUAUGAUUUAGGCAAUCCAAACAUGAUAUGAUCAUAAGUUGUGUCGAAUAAAUACUCAAAUGAAUUGAUUAAUAUUUCACUAUGUGAAAUUAGACUUUAUUAUUAAUUAUGAUAGGAUUAAUGCUAUUUAUUCAACAAAUUCGAUUGAUUGAUACGGGUUGAUUUUCUGUUACGAGCAAUUGAAGAAACAAUAGGCAGUCCGAUAGCCGCUUCAGCGGCUGCAAUAGUUAUAACAAAAAUUGAAAAAAUAUUUCCUUUUAAUUGGCGAUUAUCAAAAAAAUCAGAAAAGGUUACUAGAUUUAUAUUAACUACAUUCAGUAUAAGUUCAAGACACAUAAGGGCUCUAACCAUAUUUUGGCUCGUGACCAAUCCAUAGAUACCAAUAGAAAAUAAAUAGGCACUCAAAAUAAGUACAUGUUCGAGCAUCAUUAACCAACUCCUUAUAAAUUUUGAUUCAUUAACAAAUAUAUCGGUAAUAAAAAAAAGAAUCUUGAUAAAACUCUUUCACGUCACAUAGAAUUCGACAGAAAUGAAUGUGAGAAAAUUGAAAAAAAAAAAAGAAAAUAAUAAAAGACUGUUCUUAUUCAAAACGCCCUGUGAUCUUCAACCAAUUUUGUGCCUCGAUAUAAUUACCAGGGGUAAGAGCUAUAGCUUGUUUCCAAUAUUCAGCAGCUUGAUCAAACCAAGAUUCUGUAAUUUCAUAAUCUCCCUAUCGAAUGGCCUGUUCUCCGCGGUUGGAUUAG
rnacentral:lncRNA from 1 species